GUGUGAUAGAAGGGCUGGUUAAUGAAGACACUCUCAAGUCAUUGGUUUCCAGUACUCAUGGUUAUCCAUAAAUAUUCUUCAGUAGAGACUUAAAAUUCACUGCCUCAGUUCUUAAAGUUCUUGCCAACUGGUUGGCCAUCCCAUGUCUCCAUUAAUUACAGCCUCACUAGCCUAUGAAGAAGGGGAAGGAAUGAUCAACCUUGAAUUUUAAAGCAUUAUGAGGAAUAUGGAAGGUGAAGGGAGAGCUCUACGUUUCCCAAAUAUAGCUACAGUACUUAUUUCUCACAGAAACAGCCUUAGUUGAUCAUCUUUGUGCUCUACUUUUUUGUACAUAGAGGUUUGUGUUGAAAUGAAGAUCCAGCACUCAAGAAUUUGUUAGAAAACAUUUUAAUUUGUUUUUAACAAAUAUACAAUAAUCAAGAAGUGAAAAAUUAUACAGUAUCUUCCAUGCAAUGCCUUUAAUUCUGAAGGUUAAUGUUGCUUUUAAAAGAUAGCAAACUUCCUUUGUCUAUGUAGAUAUAGAAUACAGGAUGGUGUUUGUGGCAUAAGGAUGUCUUAUUCCAAUAGAAUACCUGAUGAUAUGAAAUAAAUGUUUUAUCA